CCCGGGCCGGACAGGGCUGACCCGGCGGGGCUGCCGCCCUCUCCCUCCUCCCAGCCGGCCGUGCCUCCUCCACCUCCCAGCUGUCGGCGAUUCCUUGCCUCUGCUUUUUGCUUUCUCCUUGCAUUGCUUCCACGCCGUUUAGGACUGGCUCUCGAGCCCCAAGUUUUAGAAACUUAGUUUUGAGAGCUCUGUCUCAGUCUAUUUUAUAUUAUUUUCAAACGUUUCAGUUGCUCUUAAUUUUGUAUGGGGCUUUGAUGUUUAUAGAAAACUUCAGUGUUUGUUUUCCUAACAAAACCCCAACUUUGAGCCGUAACUUUGUGAGGAAAUUGAUUGUUUCCAGCAAAUGUUACUUGACUUUGUUUACAUUUACACGUACGAAUAGCAGAAAGUGACUGUAGGACGUGAGUUGCUCCUUCUGUUUCUGAGCCGACGUGCCUCGCUGUCCUGGUGGGAACGCCGUGCUUUGUGGGCAGAUUAACACAAAACGCAUUUUGAUGGAUGGCAAUCACUUUCCUUCUCUUUACUGUCUAAUGGAAUUCAAGGUAAUUAACCCCUUUAUAAGGGUCUUUCCUUUAGACGAGCGUAGGAGGUUGAUGUCUGUUUUAUUCUGUGGUUCAUCAGCCAAAACCGGGGUCGUUCCCUGUGCUGUGCCUUUGACCACUGGAGGGCUGCAGAGAACAUUUUUGGAUAACGGGAGCCACAAUCUCACAGUAGUUGGUGGUUAAAAAUAGGCAUUUUAAGGUUAUUUAUACUGAUAUUCAAGCGCUUUAAGUUUUUGCUUGUUACUUUAUGUAUUUUGUUUCUUAAGAUUGGAUCUUUUCAAAGAGUGUAAUGCAGUGUUAAUAAAUGAAGUAAGAUAUCUUGGCACUGUAUGGACUUAAUAUCUGAGAUGCUUUUUCCUCCUCCACCUGAUCGGUAGAGGAAAGAAAAAAAGGGUUUAUUUCAGCAAGAACCUCGUGCUCAUUUCCCCUUGCUCUGUUUUCCUACAGUAAGCAAGUUUAAAGGCGUUUUAUGGGUGUCUCAUGCACACAACUGCAGUGCUUUUGUAACUAUAACCUGGACUUGUGGCUUGAAGGUGCAUUCUGGUGGGAGAUGGAGGUGGGAUGUGGUGUGUACAAAGCUCCUCAUGUGCCCUGAGCAUCCUGUUGUAUAGAGAAUCAAAGAUAAUGAUUGCAGUUCUCAUCUCAUCUAACUUCUAUGGGCUCUGCUGCUUCUCAUUUUAAAACCAAAACCAAGCCCCCUCCACCCCCGCUCUUUUUCCCCACAUGUUUGUGAGGAUGGGGAGAAGGAUUACAGGAACAGUUCUGGUUGCCACUUUUUUCACUUAGUAGAAAAUAACAAUUUCUUUCACUAAAUAUCUCCAGGCUGCAAAAAUUGUUUACUCUCAAUAGAAGGGGGGACCUUUCCCCCCCCCCCCCAAAAAAAAAACCAAAACAGAAAACAAACCAAACACCUCUCUAAAUUCUUCCAAGGAAAAAGAAAUACAUCAGAGUGGUUAGGAGGUGGUUAGUUACAGAACUUAAUGUGUGUAUUAAAUAUGCAUAUGCAGUUUUUUAGCUUUGCAGGAGGUUGUUGACGCCGAGAUCUCUAUCAUAGGGUCAAAUAAAAAUUGUCAUUGUUGGACAGAAAAAUGUUUUCUUUUGAGUAUUUCCAGCUAGCUUUGCUCAGUAAGACAGAGAGGCAGACUUUCUGGUUUAUUGAAAUUGAGGAUUGUCAAUUGAUAUGAAAUUAAUGAUGUCUGGAAUGUGUAGGAACUGUCUCUUGUGGUCUUCAGUUAUGGAAAGGAGAAUAUGCUGAAGGGUAAGGUUUGUUUUUUUUUUCUCUCCAUCAUACUCAAAAUUCACAGGUCCAUGUGGUCACAGGCAGGGAGCAAUACAACCUGCAGCACUUUCUCUUUUGUUUCCCCAAAUCUCUGAAUAAUUCAUUGUUACAGUAAGUACUAAACUACUCAAUGAAGUCUCAAAAUUCUUGUAAGACUCAAUUAAUCAACCUCUUAAAUUUCAUUGUAUUUGAACUUCAUCAUUACCAUAAACAACAUUUUUAUUUUUAAGUACAGCCAAAAGCCUCUCAAUGAUCUGAAUAACUAAGACUAUUUUAUUCUAAUUAAAUUAAUUACAUGGGCAAAACUUGAAGUUUUAGCCAUUGCAGCCAUUUCCAAAUCCGUGGAACAUUCAGUCCCACUUACUGGGUGUGUGCUGUGAGUACAUCAGAUCUGACUCCCAGCAGCAGAACCAGCAUCCUCUGCCUGAGAGAAACCUUCAGUUCUGAGGAGAGGAAGGUGAAGGAAAAGCUUUGAGAAUGCACCGGACAGAUCCUAGAGUCUGAUAUUUCCUGCAUCACUCAGUGUUUCCUUGUAUUUCUUUUUGUAGUAAAUAAUAAUGAAAUCCUUCUCAUUAUCAGUUCAUUCGAGACAUUAAAAAAAAAGCUUUCUUUUCAACCUCAUCCAGAAUACUUGAGAAGCAGUGUUUGGCAAGUGCUUAGGUCAGAAGAUGGGAGUUGAAGCAACUGUGCUUUCUUUUGCUGGUGCUUCCUGUAGCUCACCAAUAAACCCCAAUAAAGACAUGUAAAUUAUUUCAUCUUUCUGUUUCUUUUCAUCAAUAAAUUGAGUGAGGAAUCCUUUUUUUUUUUCCCCAGAGUGUUUUGAUUGAAAAGCAGUUCAUGAAGACCGACUCUUGUGUCUCACAGGAUAAAAGAUUCGUCUGAUUAUGAAGUCCGGGUGUCAAGAUAAUGAAAUGAUUCAGAGGUCUCAAAAGACAGAAGUCAGUAUUUGAUAGCAGCUUUAGUAUUCAGGUAUUACAGCAUAGAAGACUGACAACUAUAUUUAAAUUGUCAUUAUGAAGUUGGAGAAUGUUCGUCAGUCAGAAUCAUAUUUAUUACCAAUUUUAAUUGCAUGACUUGGAAGGCUACCAAGACAGGGAACUGAACAGCUUCCAGAGCAUGUUUUAAUUGUGAGCAGAGUGUGUGCCACUUAAAGAACAUCCUCCAAGGUGUGUCUUUUGUCACCUCUCAUUAAGUGGUUUUUGAGCAGAGUUUCAUCCCUUUCUCUCCCCUUUAAAGUGACCUCAGUUUUCUUCAGUUGGUUUUUAAACACCCAGCAGCAGUACCCAGGAGGUGAGAGUCCUGCAUGCUCACUGGGGGCUUUCAGCACAAAAUUCAGGAUGCCUGUAAUGCUUCAGUGUUUUGUUUCUUUUUAUGAGCUGCAAAUUUACUCUCUCCAGAAGGUUAAUGAUUGGAAUCUUAACUAUUUUAAAUGUGCAAGUGUCAAUAUCUGAAGUGCACUUCAGGACAGUUCACUCUAAAUGCCUUCCCAUUCUUUGCUGUGUGCCUUACAAUAAAAAUGGACAUGAUGAUUGCUUAAAGAUGUAAAGCAGGGGAGUGAGUUACCUCGAGUAAGUUGUUAGAAUGUUAUGCAUUAUAAUAUGGCAUCAAACUUCAAGUGACUUCUUAAUUAAAUUAACCUAAAGGCUCUGGAUGUGCAUCUCACUGCAUCAGUUAAUUUGGUGCUUAUCGUUCUUCAUAACUGAUAUUGGGGGAAAAAAAAAUUAAAAAAUCAGUGUUUAAGACAUGUGGGUUUUACCCUCCCUUCCCAGAAAUCCUGCUUUAUGUGGAAGAUGGAUAAUUCUUAAAAUCCAUCUUUUAAGAAAUUAUUUGGGUUUCUGUAAAUCUCUCAUGGUGCUUGGUGGUGAGGUAUCCCUGAUGCCGCUGGCUUUCUGGUACAGGUUGGGGGUGUACAAGAUGUUCAAGCUUGGCAGAAAUUAAAGGGUUUGGAGAAGUGGUUCAGGUUUUUUGAGCUCUUACAAGUCUGAGUAUCCUCAAGAUCCAGAUAGAGCAUGAGUUGACCAAUAUAUAACAAUGAAUUUAAGAGUAUUGGGCUAGGAAAGACGGAUUUUGCAGUUUACCUAAAAAAACAUGUUUUGGAAUAGAAUAGAAGUGUAUGUGCUGAAUUACAAGUCAUUUUAAUGUGGUUUUUCUCUGUAUUGAUUUUAAAGAUGGCUCUGCAGGAUUUGCAGUUUCUCAGCAGUUAAUGCUAUUAUUUAGAUGAUUGGUCUUUGUACGUGGAAUCCUGACCCUCGUUAAAUCAAUGUGAGAUUUGCCUCGUGUCUUGGUAGAAUGGAGUUUCAUCCUUUGUGUGUUUUCCUCUAAAUGUAAACAGUUAUUUCAAAGCUUUUAAAGUUAUUCUGCUAAUAGUUGCCUUUAUCCAAACAGGAGGAAUAUUUGAUUUCAUGUCUUUCACCUUACAACUGCUUUCAUUGAGCCAAGAGAACAAGUCUUGAUGGCUUUUGUUGGUUUUGUUUGGGUUUUUUUGUUUGUUUUGUUUGGGUUUUUUUUGUUCUUUUCGAAGUGCUUUUUUUAAAACUAUUGAGUGAAGCUGGCCAAGACGGGUGUCCUGCAGGUUUAAGUGAGGUUGUUCUUCCCUGUGCUGCCUGUCAGAACAGCUGUAUUGGAAGCAGGCUGUUUGCUCCUUGCCAGUAUUACAGCCUCAGGAUUCCUGCCUGGUACUGGGUAAAUACUGGGAGUGCAGUAAAGUCAAGCAGUGGUGCACCCUGCCAAGGUUUCUCACUUGUGCUUGUUUUGUGGAGCUGUUCCUUGUUGCUCUUACAAAUCAGACCCAUCACUUGAAAUUGCAUAUCCCAAAUCUGGAUAGUACUUGCCUGUUUUUCUAAUAAUAAUAAUUAACAUUUAAUUUACUACUACUUUACUUUGCAGGUCUCAGGACAGUUAAAAAGAAGUGAACCUUUUAUUUAAUUUGAUGAAAAUUGCAAUCAAAUGCAAAUAUUGAAAUUCUGCUUUUUGAUCAGCAUUCAUCUACUUCUCAUUUGCUUGUGGAUUGGAGUAAGUAGGUGAGAAGAAACAGACUCACUGAUUUCCUCUUUCUUUCUUGUGUAGAUUCUCCUCUCAUUGAGUAUGCACAAGAUUAUCAACACUUUGUGUUUAUAUAUGUACUGCAUAUGUCUGAUCAUUGUCAGCUUACAAGGACUUCAUGACUUUCCAGGCACUUGGGUUUUUCCCUCCUUAAACUCCUGAAAUCAAGCAACUAAGAAAAUGUAGUCUUUUAUACCCUAAAAAAAUAAUAAACCCUACCUUGAAUGUUAGGGAUGAAGCACAAAGGUUGUGCUGGUAAAUCACAAAAACUUAAAAGCACAAAGAAAGUAGUGAGGGUUUCCCACAUAACUUGGUGGGUUGUUUUUGCCUAGCACCUGACUCUUGGAAAUGCAGUCAAAGUCUGACUGUGGCUGGAAAGUAUCAUACCCCUUGCCUAUACCAGGUUGGAAAUUUGCAGUAAUUGGCUUGAAUUUCGUGGUUGUGAGAGGAGCUUGUAAAAUAUGGGUUGGUGGGACAAAGUUAAAAUAAUUUGUGAACUCCCUCUCAUGAUUUUCUGUGUGAUAGAUGAGGUUGGUUUCUGAAAUUUGGUUUGGAGUUAGUUUCACAAAGGCUACUAGUGCAGGUCAGUCUGUGACAGAAUGCACUGACAGGCAUAUUUGAGACAUUUCUGAAGAAACUGUAAAGCAAUCGUGUUUGAAGGGUGAUUUUCCCUUUUCCUUAUGAUAACUGCUUUAAAAAUUCCUCAGCUCCAGCUGAACAGAUGGUAUUUGCUGUUACUGUCAGGCUUAGAUCUUAAAAGUUCAUUUUUUUCAUCCUUAGUUAACAGAAUUUUAAAUUUGUGUUGAAAAAGGAAGCCUAGAAAGAUGUUAAAUGUCUGAUUUAUACUUAAUUGCCUUAAAAAGCCAGCCUUUUGAUAGUGGUCUUUCAACCUGGCACAGGUAGGCUCAAACUCUUGAUUUGAUGUCAAAGAGAAAAGCAUUGGCUGCUGAAGCCAAUUGUAGUUGGUUUCUAUCUUUUUCUUCCUCAAAAACAGCAUAAGAAGCGGUGUAUAAAAUGAUCAAAAUGCAAUUAUUUCAGGAUUUUGCUGAAGUGAAAGGCACAAGAUGAGGCAGAGUUAUUGAGAUGAAAUAAUUUGAAGAGAAAUACUUGGAGUUUUAUUUUGGGAAACUGAGAUAAUUUCCUUUUUUGAUUCCUCUGCACUCCUCCUUUAAUGGUGGUCUUUGGUGUUGUGGGAUCUGUGGGCCCGUUCCAACGGCGUCAAAAAAUAAUCAAGAAAAACACAUCUAUUUUCAGUAGGCUUGUGAUACCAUUCAGCUGUCCAUCUAAAUUUGUAGGGCUUCACAAAUCAAAAAGAGCUGGUGCUGCUUGUGAAGAUCAGCAAAAAAUAUCUGAGAAUAUUUUUGGUGGAAACAACAUGACCUCAAAAAACGUCAGUCUGUUUGUUAGAUGUUUGGCUUUCUAAUAGUAAAAAAAAUUAAAAUAUUUUGUCCAAUAUGUUUUAUUUUUAGUAACUUAAAUCAGUGUAGAUUUGAGUAUUAUGCCUUUAUUUAGAAAGUACCUCAAUUUGAGAUGUCUUAAAGAGGUAGUUCCCUUAUAAGUUCAGGAGAAUACUUACUUUUUUCCCCUACAUUCUGCAAAAUACAAGCUUGUCUUCUUUUCCAGUCUCAAAGAGUAUAUAUUCCUUAAUGUACAGUGGAAUUUCUGAGGAGAUCAAUCCUGAAAUGCUGUUAGGAUUUCUUACACUCUCCAUUUGAAUGUGAAGAGCUAAAUCUGAACAUGGUUUGGCUUAACCUUCUUUGGAAAUGCUUGAAGCUGAACAAUAUAAAUGCUUUUUGUACAGGAUGAGGCUGUGUACUCACUUUGCACAAUAGAGAGCUUUUACUUACAGCAAGACCAACAGAGGAGGAAAAGCAGUUUGGUGUUUUGAUAAACAAAGUGGUUGGCAAAUCGAGUUCUGAGGUUUUAAGGCUUUCAGCACUGCAAACCCGAGAGAGGGACAGGAGCUCUGAGCCAAAGAGUUCAGAUUGAUGGGAAAACGUUGAAAUUCUGUAAACUUCUGGGUGUGUGGCCUUGACUGUAUUUCAGGAAGCAGUUCUCAUUGAGACCACAAAUUCUAAAAAUAAGUUAGGGCGAGGGAAUAAGGUCUGUUAUAGAAAUUUAAUUAUAGACCAGCUUCUGUUUCUUUGGAAGCUAAUAAAACCCAAUAUAUUUUUGCAAGGCUUGCCAAUAUUGGCAGAUUAGUGGAUUUAGUGAAACCUUGAGAAUAGCUGAAGGGUAAACUGGGACAUAGGAGGAAAAUUAAUUUUAGUCUGUGUUUAAGUUCACCACUUUCUAUACUAAAAUACCUUCUACAGAGUGCUGACUGUAGCAUAAUUGUGAAGGAUUUUUGAGGUUUUUGAAUUUAUCUUUGCAAAAUAUUUCCUGGGUAUCUUUUUGCAGAUCUUGUCUAGCCCAGUUCUUUUAGGCUGAUUGUACAUCAGAUAAUUAUCUUAUAUUCCACAUAAGCAAUUGCUCUGAUAUAAUUUAUGACCUGCUGACCUUUUCACUUUUCUGCUGCGAUGAUUAUAAUGAGUGUGUUGAACAAAGGAGGAAAUUGAAGGCCAAAUACCCAGGGGAGUUGAAUCACCUAGGAGCUGGAGAAGUCUGGUGUAAUCUGUGGGCAGGGAGCUGAUUGCUGUCUUUUCCUGGGGAUAAUGUGCAGAUCUCUUUCUCAGCUAUUGUUGUGUGCACAGGAGGAGAAAUUUGAUGGUGGGGAGGUGAGGCAAGCAAGGAAAUGAACAGGUUUUGGGUUUUUUUUAAUUAAUUUUUUCUGGGAAUUCACACCUGUGUCAGUGCCCCCUCGAGCAUGGGGGACACCACAUGGUGCUCUUGGUUUCUUCUCUGCUUCAUAAGAAAUGUAAUACUUCUCAGGCUCCAGAGGCUGGGUUGGCUGAACUGAAGGGCUCUGCUUACAGAAAGACAGUGUUUCUCCUGGUUGGCUUGUAAUAAAUACUUUUGCUGUUUCAUGUUUGUUAUUAUAGGGUAAAUUCCAAGUCUCAGAUCUAAAUAUAAAAUUUUGUCAGAACUCUGUAAACUUGGCAGUGUUUUUGUGAUGCAUAUCAGUGUGUGUAGUGGCUCUGUCAAAAUUCAGCACCCUGUGAUCGCUGGGAGAUCAGGAGAGCAGAGAGAAAAUGAAAUGGAACCUGCAUCCUUUCGUAUUCUUAGGCAUGUAGAAAUUAAUAUCUUAAAAGCUUGGGUUUUGCUCCCAACUGAGUGCUUGCUCUUGCAGGAAGUUGAUCUGAAAUGCAGAAGAACUGAUGCUUAAUUUCUGUAGUAAUAAAUGCUGUUCCAUUUGGCAUUCCCAUUAUUGAGUGAAACUGAUUGCCAUCAGCUUUGUAUGACCCAUCAGGGGGGGAACUCACUUUGGCUAAACUUUGGAGUGCAUUCAGUAAAACUGAGAGUGACUUCUGUCCUUCAAAGGGAAGAUUCUUCAUAGCCUUUCCAAAAUACCUGGCUCAGAACAACAAUUGCACCUGCCUUGGGAGGAUCAUGAUUUCCCUUGUGAUCCUCAUGGAGAAAUGGGCUGCUCAAAUUGCACAAGACCUGCAGCAUCCUGUGCUCACCCUCAGCCUGGUGUUUUUGCUCCAGGAUGUGUUUGAUGGGGACUGCCAUUGUAGAAAGGGACUGGAAAUAUCAUUGCCAGCUUACAGUUCUAAAUGGGUUGUGUAAGACUGUGACCCUGAAAAGCUGCUGCUCUCUUCACUGCAGUGAUUUAGCUGGAGACACUUUGGCUGCAUGGGAAUUUCCAUGCAGUAUUUAUUUUGACAAAAAUUGGAGAAAAAGUUUUACUGACGUAUCAUUCUGAAGCAUUGUCCUAUUUUAGGGGCUCAGAUGGAAAUGAAUGGCUCAUUCUCCUAGCUCUGGGAAGGCUGGGUCAGUCCCUGGUAAUCUGCAGGUUUGCACACAGGAGUUCAGGGUGUCUGACAGAAAUGGUGUUGACUGUGUUUGAUAGCCUUGUACAAAGUAAUGCUCCACACUGUUGUGACCUUAAAGAGAAAUGUUGUGGGUAGUGUGCUUGAAAACCCAAUAAACUGCGUGGGAUUGUGCUCCUUUGUGCUGACAGAAAUUACUGAGAAUAUUUUCCAGUGAUUUGCAAUAUCUGGGUAUGUGUGUGAUAAACUUUUGUGUGACCUGCCAAACACCUGACUGCUUCUGAGAUUAACAUGUUCUGUUAACACCCCAGACUUUGUCUGGGCAGGACAGAAAUAAAGAAUGCUUUUGAUUUUUAAAUAAACUUUCAUCAGCUGCUGACUGGGGUUAACAUGACACUACUGAUGAGUUGCUGUGUGUGCUGUGUUGAUCAUGCAGCUUCACAUAUGUUAUUUUCAAGUAUCACUGAAAAUAACAUUGCAGGGAAAAUUUGGGUCUUGUCUUCCUAGCUUUCACAGCAGCAAUUACAUGAGGUUUGACCAUUCCUCCUCUGUAUUCAGGCCUGGAUUCAGUGUGACCACUACCAGUGGUUUGGGUUUUCUUUUUCUUUUUCAUUCAGAGUGGAGAUACUGACUUUGUUCUGACUGUGCUCAGGCUAUGAGCUCCUUUUAUGUGUGCUAAUGGUUCACUUUCUUUGCUAUAAUUCAUGAACAACUGUCUUUUGUAAAGUUGGCCUUGGUAUUUCAAAAUCUUCUUCAAUUUGAGGGAAUUUUUCUGGGAUGUAAACAGGUGCCUUUGUAGAACCAGUUCAAAUUCCAGGGAAGUUCUCUGUGUUGUUUCCUUCCUUUGCCUUCAUAAUAAGGGCAAAUAGAUUAUAAUAUUUUUUUGAGUUCUUUUUAAGGGUAUUAACUUCUGGGUGGGAUAAUCUGCUGAAGUGCUUCAUUUGCAUAACAAAUUACUAGAAUGCAGUAUUGAUGGCUAUUCAUGAGCACCAACAUUCACUGAAUAGCUUGGAAAGCUAAUUAAAUUAUAAUUGACUUUAUUCCUCUCUCUCCUGUUAAUGUUUCAUUUUCCUGUCAAAUUGUUAAGUUGGUUUUUGUCUUCAGUUGUUAAAAAUAACCUGUCUUCAGCACACUCAAGGGACUUCUGCAGCCUGUUCUGAAUUGUUCAGGUGCAAAGUUAUGGGUAAGUGGGCUGCAGUCUCCUGGUUCUUCUUGAUACCUCUUUGUAACCCAGAUUAGUUUAAAGACAGAAUGUUUACAUAUUUCAUAGCCUCUUAAGAUUUUAGUUUAACAAUUCUAGAGAACUCAAAAAGAACCAAAAUGUUGAUAUAUUACAAAGAAAUAUUUACAUGUCAGUAUUGUAAAUCUCUUUACAAAUCUUGUCUUGAGCAAAUUGCUGCCUGACCAAGUGAUGUGGUUACUGUUGAUGUGCUGAAAAGUGUCUUUAUUGCACCAGUUUUAAACACCAUUUAGUUGAACUAAUGUUUUGUAAAGUGCAGGAGAAAAUGACAGGAAUCAUGAUACUGUACCUGUUUCUGAAGUCUCUGAGGUGAGUCUGGGGUGGUGUACCAGGAAGUCUUGCUUUGUGCUAGUGGCUCCAAUUUUCCCUGUUUCUGGAAAAUGCUGUUUAGCGCACCCUGACCUUUUGACCUCCUCUCUUUCUCAAGGGGCUGACCUGGGCAGGUUUUCUUUUAACUGCAAGUCCUUUCACUCAGGGACGUAAUUCUUGAACCUGCAGCUUGGAGAAACUCAGCAGAGGACACCACUGUUGCCAUUCCUAACUCACGCCAGUGAAUUUUUGAUUACAUCCCAUGAGAAAUAUUGAAUAUCAUGGUGCAAUUGGUAAGGAUAUUAAAACUAAGGGAAUGUAUUAAAAUAGCUUGUUCAGGUAGAAAAAGUAUUGAAAGACUAAGAAGAUAAUUGAUUUCCAAUUAUCAUGCUGCUGGAUGGACCGGGCUCUUUCUCAGGAUGGUGCUUCUGAGGAGAAGAUGAAUUUUAAAAAGUCUCAUCACCAACAUAUCCCAGUGCAGCUGCUGACAGGAUAAAGUUCAUUGGAAUGUGAAACUCGGUGCAGCCAAGAAGAUUGAUCAAUUGGGAAGGGACCGAGUCAAAAACUAAACAAAGAAACAUCCAAAACUGAAGAAGAAUGUAUGAAUAUGUAUGAGAAUUUAUGAAUAUGUAGUAGGAUUCUGUUUUUAAGGGACAAUCCUGUGUUAGUAAGGUGUGCUCUCUUGGCUGAAUGCAGAGACACCCGGCCCUAUCUGUAUACUUCACUUUAUUUCUAUCUCCUAAUUGUCUUUCUGUUAAACUUUUAAAUUCUAUAAAAAAAUAUGUGAACCUCGUUUUUCACAUUAAGUAAUUUGUAAAAACUCUGCCCUAAAGAAGGAUUUUUCUUGCUGAUAGCUCUUUUUAAAUACAUUUGGAGCACUGAUUCAUGAAAACGUUUACCAUUUUAAGUUGACUUCUUGAAGAGAACUGUAAUAGGAUGUGAAGACUUGAGGAAAUCAUAAAAACCACUUUAAAAAUAUUGUGCAUCCUUGCUGCAUGUCUUGUAUUAUUUAUAUGUACAUACCCUGUGUAUUCUGAAUAAAUGAUUAUAUGUGGAAUUCA